AUUGAAACUUCACUCUACAAAGCUCAAAUUUGAAGUGCAAUUUCUAAACUGCGACUGUGCCUUCAUUUUUAAUACUUCAGAGACAUACUAUGCAUCAAAAUGUAUGUCUGGGUCUUGUGAUUCUCACAAUAUAAAGCUCUUCGCUGUAGGAUUGUUUGUUAAAAUACGACCGUUUGAAGAUGGCAACCGCCAAAAUACUCUGACCUGUGCCAGGCUGCA
rnacentral:lncRNA from 1 species